rnacentral:rRNA from 1 species
AGGAUCAUUAUCGAUUUGUGAAGGGUUGUCGCUCUCGUGUGCACGCCCCGAUCAUCCACUCAUACCUGUGCACCUUUUGCGGGCGAAAGUCCGCGUCUCACACACACACUACAUGUAUCAGAAUGUCUUACGAUGCAUUACGCAUUUAUUAAUACAACUUUCAACAACGGAUCUCUUGGCUCUCGCAUCGAUGAAGAACGCAGCGAAAUGCGAUAAGUAAUGUGAAUUGCAGAAUUCAGUGAAUCAUCGAAUCUUUGAACGCACCUUGCGCUCCUUGGUAUUCCGAGGAGCAUGCCUGUUUGAGUGUCAUGAACAUAUCAACUCGAAUUCAUUUUCGUGCUUGGACUUGGAGGUCUUUUGCCGGCGAUGGCCGGCUCCUCUCAAAUGCAUUAGUGGGCUUUGCUCAGGGAAAGCAGUCGGUGUGAUAAUUAUCUACUCCGUCCGCGACUCUGGAUCUCGCUUAUAACCGUCCGCGAGGACAACAACUCUUUAAUGACAUCUGACCUCAAAUCAGGUAGGACUACCCGCUGAACUUAAGCAUAUCAAUAAGCGGAGGAAAAGAAACUAACAAGGAUUCCCCUAGUAACUGCGAGUGAAGCGGGAAAAGCUCAAAUUUAAAAUCUGGCGUCCUUUGGUCGUCCGAGUUGUAAUCUAGAGAAGUG